AUUGAACGCUGGCGGCAGGCCUAACACAUGCAAGUCGAGCGGAUGAAGGGAGCUUGCUCCUGGAUUCAGCGGCGGACGGGUGAGUAAUGCCUAUGAAUCUGCCUGGUAGUGGGGGAUAACGUCCGGAAACGGGCGCUAAUACCGCAUACGUCCUGAGGGAGAAAGUGGGGGAUCUUCGGACCUCACGCUAUCAGAUGAGCCUAGGUCGGAUUAGCUAGUUGGUGGGGUAAAGACCUACCAAGGCGACGAUCCGUAACUGGUCUGAGAGGAUGAUCAGUCACACUGGAACUGAGACACGGACCAGACGCCUACGGGAGGCAGCAGUGGGGAAUAUGGGACAAUGGGCGAAAUCCUGAUCCAACCAGGGCGCGUGUGUGAAGAAGGUCUUCGGUUUGUAAAGCACUUUAAGGGGGGAGAAAGGGCAGUAAGUUAAUACCUUGCUGUUUUGACGUUACCAACAGAAUAAGCACCGGCUAACUUCGUG
rnacentral:rRNA from 1 species